rnacentral:rRNA from 1 species
GACGAACGCUGGCGGCGUGCUUAACACAUGCAAGUCGAACUAUGAAGGAGAGCUUGCUCUCCGGAUUAGUGGCGAACGGGUGAGUAACACGUGACUAACCUACCCCUUUCUCUGGGAUAACGCUCCGAAAGGAGUGCUAAUACCGCAUACGAACUCUGAACACAUGUUCGGAGUUGGAAAGUUUUUCGGAAGGGGAGGGAGUCGCGGCCUAUCAGCUUGUUGGUGAGGUAACGGCUCACCAAGGAGACGACGGGUAGCCGACCUGAGAGGGCGACCGGACACGAUGCGACUGAGACACGGCCCAGACUCCUACGGGAGGCAGCAGUGGCGAAUAUUGAACAAUGGGCGCAAGCCUGAUGCAGCGACGCCGCGUGAGGGAUGAAGGUCUUCGGAUUGUAAACCGCUUUCAGUAGGGACGAUGCGAAAGUGACGGUACCUAAAGAAGAAGCACCGGCUAACUACGUGCCAGCCGCCGCCGUAA